GGAGGGAAAGCGGAGCACCAGAAAACCAUCUCUCCCACGACAAUCUCACAGAAGUCUGCUGUUGGAUACUUAAAACUGAACUCCUGCUUCAUGCCCCUUCCAGAAAAGAAGAAAACUUUGUUCUGUGCUGAAGUUUUUUUGACCUUUUUUUCUUUUAAAGUCAAAUUAUCAACAUUGAUGACUGCUUGAAGAGUGAGAAGAAGGAUGUUUCCCUAUACCCAGUUAAGAGUUUUGUUUGUUUUCUUUUCUGUAUCAGUGAUGGUGUAAGAACCAGUCUCUGUUUUUGAAGAAAAAGCAAUAUUCCUUGGAAAGCAAGGAGGAUUGAAGGAUUAUGUUUGCAGUGAGGAAAUAGAUUUUCACAAAGAGUUUGUUUUACACGUUUAAGGUUGACAUCUAUGUGGGCCUUAUAUACUCUUAAAAUGAACCUUAGUCACCUUGGUGCUUAUGGGCCAUUACUUGACCUAAGAAUCUUUAAGGCACAACCAGUUGUACUUUACAUGUAAAGAUUACUUGAGUGAUGGCCGCCUUUCCCUGUACCCGCUCCUUCCCCACACGCCUUCUGCGGUUCACUGAGAGCUAGGGCUGCAGAGCUGGGCCCUAGGUUGUGUGUAACCUACCUUCCCCUUCUCAUUGCCACCUUAGGUCAUGUUAGGGGUCUCGCCCUCCAGGCGAUUUGAAAGUGGAGUCUCUUGACAGCCCUCAUGCAGGUCCCCAGAGCCUGUACUACUUCUCGCCCGAGUGACUCCCAGAGAGCCGACUGCCUGCUGACGGGAACCAGUGCCAGAAAGGCAACUGUGAGCCAUCGCAGUUUUCACUCACUGUUUAGCUAAGCUCUUAGGCCGCAAAAGGGGCUUCUCAAACCUCCGGGUAUAUCAGAGUUCAUGAGAAAGGAAACAUCCAGUCAAACCAAAUCAAACAUAUUGAAUUUUACUUUUCAUAAUGAGCAUCUGAGAGCUGAUUAAGAUUGGAAAGACAUCUGAAUGAAAGUAUUUGGCAACAUGAUACUAAAGGAAUGGCUUUGAUAGGCCAUUUUCAGAAAAGAUUUAUAAUAAAGAGGCCGAACAGCAGGUCUGUGACAGAAAUGGACCUGCUUUCAGACCACUGCCCAGCCAACAUCUGGACAGACACUACUCUGGAUUUGGUAUAUCUGCUAGAGUCCAUAAAAAUCUGUGCUUAUUUUACAAAAUACCUUCCCCCCGAUAAAUGGGUGAGAAAAGAGAAGUGUCUGAUGCUUUCCUCUCAUGUUGUGUGUGCGUGUGUGAGGGCUGAGUUGCGUGAUUUUUUUCUUUCUCAAGGAUCAUGGCGGGAUCACAGAGCUCUUUUAUACAAGUGAGAUCCAGGUCUCUGCGUAUCUUUUUGUAAAUAAUAAAAUAAUAAUAAUAAAAGCUCCUCACCAAAUUCAAGCUUGUACAUUAUAUUUUCUUUCAAUGUUUUUAAAUUUAAGUUUUAUUGUUUUGUAUGUAAAUAUGUGGACCCAGGAACUGUUAUUAAUGAGCAAAAAGUUACUGUUCAGGGCAGUGAUUCUGUUUAAUAAUCAGACAAAAUGUAGACGAGCUUUUUAAAGCCAUAUAGUUUUAACUCUGUACAGUAGGUACCGGCCUGUAUUAUUGUAACAAUAACUCUAGCAAUGUAUAGUGUAUCUAUAUAGUUUGGAGUGCCUUCGCUUCCAUGUGUUUGUUUUUUUGUUGUUUUUCAUUUUUUAAAUUUUAAUUGGUUUCUCUCUCUAUCCAUGUCUCCCUGUCCCCACCCUUUUCCCUAUGAAAUAAUAAUUCACUCAUAACACAGUGUCUGUGCCCCUUCACGGUGAAUUUCAGUGAUACCAUGCUCAGGAGUGGAAAGAGGAAACCAUGUUCAUAAUCUCCUGUCAUGUAAGCUCUGCCUUUGUUUUGGUUCUGAACAUACGUCUUCCUCAGUAGCAGUGACCGGUUUCAUUUCAUCCUUAGGCCAUCCAGGGACUCAGCAUAGUGCCAGGGAGCCCUAGAGCUGGAGGGUAUCAAUUAGAUUUUGCUCGUCUCUUCCCCAAACCCUAACCAUGGGUCUUACAGUCCGCAGAUUCCAUGCUCACUCUCCUCAUUUCCUUCCCUCACAAAUGAGAGGGGAGAAUUGGUUUUUGUAAAUCAGAAUUCCGUCACAGCGUCAGGUUUUGCUAAUCAGUGGUCUGAAAUGCCACAGUGCGCGUGAGGACUGUGGCUUAACAAGGGGACUCCACCUGUCCGUCCUCUCGCCACCUCCACCACCCCUUUCAGCAAAAUCUCAUUUAAUUUCUUUUUUCAAAAAUCAGUUCAAUUCUUACUGUGUGCCCAUCAUGAAGGCCUUUUUUGAAAGAAAAAAAAAAUCAAAAUUACUUGUUUUGCCUCCAAGUACUCCAUAUGAGAUGUCUUGAGUAGAAGAAAAAAACAAACUUUACCAAACCAAAGGUUCCUAUUUUUGAAACAUCAUGUGUUUGUUCCAGCAAGGCGGAAAACUGCACCUUCUUUCCAGUGACAUGUCGUUUUUUAAAGUCCUCUUAAUUUUUAGAUACAUAUUUUUGGUGUGUGUUUUAAUAAAGCUCCUAACCAGUCAUACGGUCUGCACCAAUGCGAAGGUUUCUGAGAGGACUGUUGUAUUCUCUAUCCCUGUGGAUAUAAAGACACUGGCUUUUUAUUUCUUUUUCCCUUUCCUUUUAAGGGAUUUAACUUUGGAAUCUUCCAAAGGAAGUUUGGCCAAUGCCAGAUCCCCAGGAGUUUGGGGUCUUUUCUUUUUUAAAAAAUGAAAAUUGUAACUGAUCCCUGUUGUUCUUAGUGAUCAUCUAAUCACAGAGCCAAACACUUUCUCCCGUCUAUAGAAAAAUAAACUAAGCAUGCUUUACAAUAAAACCUGUCUUUUCUGAUAGAAACCUGAGCCACUGAAGAUAAGAGAGACAACUAGAAGCAGAGUAGAGUCCCAGACAAAGGUCUGCGUUUGAGAGGCUUCGAAAGUAAUCCCUGAGGUUUGGGUUAUUUUCACAAGGGUUAUGACGUUUUAUUCAAGUUUGUUGCUCCGUUUUGCACCUCUGCAAUAAAAGCAAAAUGACAACCAGUACAUAAGGGGUUAGCUUGACAAAGUAGACUUCCUUGUGUUAAUUUUUAAGUUUUUUUUUUUCAUACUAUAUCUGCUACAGGCAGAUUCAGAUAGAUGUAUGAAAUGUGCUUGCCUGUAAAAUUGCAUUUAUAAAUGUGUUGCCGAUGGAUCACUUGGGCCUGUACACAUACCAAUUAGCGUGACCACUUCCAUCUUAAAAACAAAUCUAAAAAACAAAAUUUAUUAUAUACAUAUAUAUAUAUAUAAAGGACUGUGGGUUGUAUACAAACUAUUGCAAACACUUGUGCAAAUCUGUCUUGAUAUAAAGGAAAAGCAAAAUCUGUAUAACAUUAUUACUACUUGAAUGCCUCUGUGACUGAUUUUUUUCAUUUUAAAUAUAAACUUUUUUGUGAAAAGUAUGCUUAAUGUUUUGUUUUUUUUCCCCUUUCCCCAUUCCCUUGUAAAUACAUUUCGUUCUAUGUGACUUGGUUUGGAAAUAGUUAACUGGUACUGUAAUUUGCAUUAAAUAAAAAGUAGGUAGCCUGGAAAUGAAAUUAAAA